rnacentral:rRNA from 1 species
UAACGGCUCAGUAACACGUGGCUAACCUACCCUCGAGACGGGGACAACCCCGGGAAACUGGGGCUAAUCCCAGAUAGAUGAAGACCCCUGGAAUGGGUCCUCGUCCAAAAGGCACCAUGGUUAUGCUCUGUGGUGUCGCUCAAGGAUGGGGCCGCGUCCGAUCAGGCUGUUGGUGAGGUAAUGGCUCACCAAACCUAUAACCGGUACGGGCCGUGAGAGCGGGAGCCCGGAGAUGGGAACUGAGACAAGGUCCCAGGCCCUACGGGGCGCAGCAGUUACGAAAACUUGUCAAUGCACGAAAGUGUGAACGGGCUACCCCGAGUGCCGUCCGCUGAGGAUGGCUUUUCUCUGCUUUAAGAAGGCAGAGGAAUAAGGCGAGGGCAAGUCUGGUGUCAGCCGCCGCGGUAAUACCAGCUCGCCGAGUGGUAGGGAUGAUUAUUGGGCCUAAAGCGUCCGUAGCUGGCCUUUCAAGUCUCUUGUUAAAUCCAACGAUUCAAUCGCUGGACUGCAGGAGAUACUGCAAGGCUAGGAGGCGAGAGAAGCCGACGGUAUUUUCGGGGUAGGGGUAAAAUCCUAUAAUCCCGAGAAGACCACCAGUGGCGAAGGCGGUCGGCUAGCGCGCGCUCGACGGUGAGGGACGAAAGCUGGGGGAGCGAACCGGAUUAGAUACCCGGGUAGUCCCAGCUGUAAACGAUGCUGGCUAGGUGUUGAAGCGGCCACGAGCCGCUUCAGUGCCGCAGGGAAGCCAUUAAGCC